rnacentral:tRNA from 1 species
ACUGUUGUAAAUAAAGGAUUUUAUAUAGCCUUCCAAGCUAUUAAUGCGGGUUCGAUUCCCGCCGCCCGCU